CCUGUCUCCACCCCCUUCCUCCUCAUGGUCACCUGCCUGUCUCCUUGGAAAGUUAGCUCCAUGCAGGUUCAGCCUGGGCUGCCCUGCCUACCAUUGCCUCCCCAGUGCCCUCAUGGUGUACUCCAUGGAAGGUACCAGAGCUUAGAGCAAAGCCUAGCGCACAGGGCAUGCGAUGGUGAAUGAAUGGAUGAACAAACAAGAGCAUCAAUUUUGGGAUUAGACUGCCUGGGUUCACAUCCUCACCAGCUCUGACCCUUGGGCAAAUUAUUUAACCUAUCUGGGCCUCAGUUUCCUCAUCGAUAAAAUGGGGAUGAUCGUAGUGCCUACCUCAUGGGGUGGUUAUGUGGAUUAAAUGGUUUCAGGGAGUAUUCAAUAUCUGCAAGUGUGUAACAUACGAAUAUCACGUGAGAUUUUUGGGCAUAACUGAGCAAAUCCCAGCUCUUGAUGGGGUCUCAGGAGCAGUGGUGCAAAGAGCAGUGGGAACGGUAUUCCUGGCGGAGGGAACAGCAUCCACAGGAUGUUUUGGAGGGGGUCGGGUAAGAGGGGAUGUUUUGGGGGGGCAGGUAAGAGGGGAUGUUUUGGGGGGGAGUAAGAGGGGAGGGGAGAGAGAUGGACUGGCAGUGCCAGGGAGUGGCCGUCGGGCUGAACAUCCACAGAAACCAGACACGAAGAGGAGGCAAGCCAGGCCAGGGGGAAGCAUAAAGAGGAAGUGAACCAAAGCAGGGAGCGAGGACUGGUUUCACAAGACACUCAGUGUGAGGCUUCGAGAAGGCCAUGGAGGUACAGUGAUCCCCCCAAACCCCAGCCCCACCCCAGCUUCUCUUGUGGUCUUCCUCAUCCCAGGAAAUGGCACCUCCCACUGUCGAUGGCCCAGGAGUCAGGCUUGAUAUUUUUCUUUCUUCCACAUCCGCAUCUGAUCCUUUCACAAAUCCUGAUGGCUCUACUUAAAAUAUAUCCAAAACCCAGCCAUUAUCAUCUCCACUGCUGCCGUCCCCAACCAGGCCACCGCCAUCUCCCCUCUGGGCUCUAUCAGCUCCCAGCUGAGAAUUGUGAUCAGUUUCCCCAGCUUCCCUCGGCCGCUUCAGUCUAUUCUCACUCAGAAACCAGAGAGAUUGUUUAAAAAUACAAAUCAAGCCGGGCGCUGGGGCUCGCGCCUAUAAUCCCAGUACUUUGGGAGGCCAAGUUGAGUGGAUCGCUUGAGUCCAGGAGUUCGAGACCAGCCUG
rnacentral:lncRNA from 10 species